CGGUAAAAAAGCUCGUAGUUGGAUUUCUGUUGAGGACGGUCGGUCCGCACCAUGUGCGGUAUCAGGCUCGGCCUCGGCAUCCUCUCGAAAGACGUUCCUGCGCUUGAUUGCGUGGGGCGGAUCUCGGGACUUUUACUUUGAGGAAAUUAGAGUGUUCACGGCAGGCUAUCGCCAGAAUACAUUAGCAUGGAAUAAUACUAUAGGAUCUCGGUUCUAUUUUGUUGGUUUCUAGAAUUGAGAUAAUGAUUAAUAGGGACAAUUGGGGGCAUUCGUAUCAACACGUCAGAGGUGGAAUUCUUGGAUUGUGUUGCGACGAACUACUGCGAAAGCAUUUGCCAAGGAUGUUUUCAUUGAUCAAGAACGAAAGUAAGGGGAUCGAAGACGAUUAGAUACCGUCGUAGUCUUUACCAUAAACUAUGCCAACUAGAGAUGGGGCGUCGUUCAUUCACGACUCGCUCCGCACCUUAUGAGAU
rnacentral:rRNA from 1 species